UUCUGGAUGGACGAGACUUGAGUCCACUGUGUAGGGACACGGAAGUGAUAGUGCAGGUGCUUGUUAGAGAACAAGGGUACUGAGCGUGACCAAUACAAGAAGUCACUUGGAUGUCUAUCCACUCGUCGGUGACUUGCUUGAUGUUGCAGUAGUGUGACUGGUUCUUUGACCUGCGGUGCUUCGGCUACUCACAGUGAGGUUAUUGUAGUUUGACUGCACACAUACAUGGUCUCUAGCCAUAUGGGUCCAUGCAAUGUAGAUUGGCUGCAGUAAGUUCACUGUAGGAGUAGGGUAUUCACCUAUAAGGAAUCUAUCGACCUUGAUAGAUAAGGAGAGAUCCUAUGUGAUUUAUAAGACUGAGUUCGUAAGACCUCAGCCGGGGCAGUAUGCAUAGUGGAAAAGGAGUUUUCCACUCUCGAACUUAAGUCGAAUAAAUCUUCACAUAUGACAGACGAUGGAGUUUGACGAGUUGUCCAUGACCUCCGUCCUGUAGGGAUCCACGAUAGUAGGACUGUAUCACAUGAUAACUGCACCUAGAGGUUCAUCAUUCCAUUCUGCUGGGUAGCCACUACAUGCUGCUAGGUGUCACUGGUGGAUGGUGGGACUCACAGGGAUUAUCUCGAUGA
rnacentral:lncRNA from 1 species